rnacentral:rRNA from 1 species
GUGGGGAAUAUUGGACAAUGGGCGAAAGCCUGAUCCAGCGACGCCGCGUGGGUGAAGAAGGCCUUCGGGUUGUAAAGCCCUUUAAGCCGGGACGAAAAAGCUACACCUAACACGUGUGGCCUUGACGGUACCGGAAGAAUAAGCACCGGCUAACUCUGUGCCAGCAGCCGCGGUAAUACAGAGGGUGCGAGCGUUAAUCGGAUUUACUGGGCGUAAAGCGUGUGUAGGUGGCUUCCUAAGUCGAUUGUGAAAUCCCUGGGCUCAACCUGGGAAUUGCAGUCGAUACUGGGGAGCUCGAGUUCGGUAGAGGACGGCGGAAUUCCCGGUGUAGCGGUGAAAUGCGUAGAUAUCGGGAGGAACAUCGAUGGCGAAAGCAACCGUCUGGGCCUGAACUGACACUGAGACACGAAAGCGUGGGGAGCAAACAGG